rnacentral:rRNA from 1 species
AUUGAACGCUGGCGGCAGGCCUAACACAUGCAAGUCGAGCGGUAGAGAGGUGCUUGCAUCUCUUGAGAGCGGCGGACGGGUGAGUAAUGCCUAGGAAUCUGCCUAGUGGUGGGGAAUAACGUUCGGAAACGGACGCUAAUACCGCAUACGUCCUACGGGAGAAAGCGGGGGAUCUUCGGACCUCGCGCCAUUAGAUGAGCCUAGGUCGGAUUAGCUAGUUGGUGAGGUAAUGGCUCACCAAGGCGACGAUCCGUAACUGGUCUGAGAGGAUGAUCAGUCACACUGGAACUGAGACACGGUCCAGACUCCUACGGGAGGCAGCAGUGGGGAAUAUUGGACAAUGGGCGAAAGCCUGAUCCAGCCAUGCCGCGUGUGUGAAGAAGGUCUUCGGAUUGUAAAGCACUUUAAGUUGGGAGGAAGGGUAGUAACCUAAUACGUUGCUACUUUGACGUUACCGACAG